GCACAGUGGUUACCACCUUCGCUUCGCAUUCUGAGGGCCCCGGGUUCAAGUCCCGCCACCGCCAAUUUCCCUCCCUCCCUUUCCCUCCAAUUCAUCAUUCAAGAUACGCAAGAUUCUACUCAUUCAAGAAAGAAAAGAAAGAAGAAAGAAUAAAAGAAGAAAGAAUAAAAGAAGUGAGAAAAAAAGAAGAAAGAAUAAAAGAAGAGAGAAAAGAAGAGCCAUGCCUACUAUAACGGGGCUAAAUGGUACACCAAAAAAGCCUUGCCAGGCUAAAAAUGGCAAAAAAAAGCCUUGCCAGGCUAAAAAUGGCAAAAAAAGCCUUGCCAGGCUAAAAAUCGAUCUGUAGUACUGUUCACUACACGUUAAGGAUCGACCCACAAACUGAAGGGUGGAGAAGAGGGGAACAUUGAACGUAGGCUGUUCGUUAGCCUCCCCACGGCCUGAAAGACGGCUCGUGGAUGCAGACGCUUAUGAUCGGGAUAUGUGACCCAAUUCGAUACCUGUAAGUUUUUGAAAAUUGGCCGAAGAAAAUCUACCUAUCCCCCGGCGCUUCUGUGUUCAUCCAGGCUGCUACUCUUCAAACAUGGAGUCUUGCUGUCGCCUCUAAGAACCCCAUAGUACUACUUUUUCCAGUUAUAGGUUAUAGAUUAGAUCCAGAUACAGGUAUGCAAUGGAAGUUUUUGCAUGCUCAUAACUUUGUUCUAUACGCUCAGAAACGUCUUCAGCGAGCUCGAUUUGUUCAUAGUUCUGUUUUUGGAAUCAACGGCGAUAUGGAACAACAAAUAUACACAACAGUAUGUGGACAACAAGAAAGCUUCUGUUUGAAGAAAAAACUACAUCAGUAACCAGUUGCAGGUUCUCAUUCAUGAUUUACAUAGAAAACCGAUAAGAGUUUUUGGACUACCGUACUGCUUUUCGCAUGUUUGACGUUUAUCCGUCCAUAUCCAUGUUGCCAUGGCUAAAACAACAAAAAGGUUGGAAUCUAGAUACUACGUGCUUUCACUUUACGCUAUGUACUUCGAGGACUUUGCGUUUAGCUGUGAAAACCUUAUUCUUCUAUA